rnacentral:rRNA from 1 species
ACUCCUACGGGAGGCAGCAGUGGGGAAUCUUGCGCAAUGGGCGAAAGCCUGACGCAGCCAUGCCGCGUGAAUGAUGAAGGUCUUAGGAUUGUAAAAUUCUUUUAGCAGGGACGAUAAUGACGGUACCUGCAGAAAAAGCCCCGGCUAACUUCGUGCCAGCAGCCGCGGUAAU